UCGCCUGUUUUACAAAAACAUGUCCUAUAGUUUAUAUUUUAGGUCUGACCUGCCCGUUGAUUAUUAUUGAAAGGCCGCAGAAUUUUAACUGUGCAAAGGUAGCAUAAUCAUUAGUCUUUUAAUUGAAGGCUUGUAUGAAUGGUUGGACGAGGUACUUGCUGUUUCAUAUUUAAUUAUUAGAAUUUUAUUUUUUAGUUAAAAAGCUAAAAUUUUAUUGAAAGACGAGAAGACCCUAUAGAUCUUUAUAUUUAUUAUUUUAUUAGUUAUUAGGAUUUAAUUUGAUUAAUAAAUUAUAUAUUAUUUUGUUGGGGUGACAUAGAAAUUUAAUUAACUUUUUAUAUUUUAUUUACAUUUAUUUAUGAUUUAGUGAUCCUUUAUUUAAGAUUAUAAAAUUAAGUUACCUUAGGGAUAACAGCGUAAUUUUUUUAGAGAGUUCAUAUCGAUAAAAAAGAUUGCGACCUCGAUGUUGGAUUAAGAUAUAGUGUUGGGUGCAGCAGUUCAACUUUUAAGUCUGUUCGACUUUUAAUUUCUUACAUGAUCUGAGUUCAAACCGGAGA
rnacentral:rRNA from 1 species